UAAGUUUGUCCUAAGUGAAACAUCUUUAAGUUUGACAAAAUCUAUAGAAAAAUAUAUCAACAUGAACAUCUACAGCAUCAACUAUAUAUAGUAUGGAAAUAUAUUUAUGUUGAAUCUAAUGAAACUACUUGGAUGUUGUAGAUGUUGGUAUGUUUUUCUAUGGACUCAGUCAAACUUAAAGAGGUUCAACUUAGGACAAAGAACU
rnacentral:pre_miRNA from 1 species